GAGUUUGAUCCUGGCUCAGAACGAACGCUGGCGGCAGGCCUAACACAUGCAAGUCGAAGGAGAAGUUGCCCUUCGGGGUGAUGGACACUGGCGCACGGGUGAGUAACGCGUGGGAAUCUGCCCCGGGGUGGGGAAUAACCGCUGGAAACGGCGGCUAAUACCGCAUACGCCGUAUUGGGAAAGCUUUAGCGCCCUGGGAUGAGCCCGCGUUAGAUUAGCUAGUUGGUGGGGUAACGGCCUACCAAGGCGACGAUCUAUAGCUGGUCUGAGAGGAUGAUCAGCCACACUGGGACUGAGACACGGCCCAGACUCCUACGGGAGGCAGCAGUGGGGAAUAUUGGACAAUGGGCGCAAGCCUGAUCCAGCCAUGCCGCGUGCGUGAAGAAGGCCUUAGGGUUGUAAAGCGCUUUCGCUGGUGAAGAUGAUGACGGUAGCCAGAGAAGAA
rnacentral:rRNA from 1 species